rnacentral:rRNA from 1 species
GACGAACGCUGGCGGCGUGCUUAACACAUGCAAGUCGAACGGAAAGGCCCUGCGUGUGUGGGGUGCCCGAGUGGCGAAGGGGGGAGUAACACGAGAGUAACCUGCCCUACAUUUUGGGAUAACUUCAGGAAACUGGGGCUAAUAUCGGAUAGGAGCUCCUGUUGCAGGGAGGGGGUUGGAAAUUUGCGGCGGGCGGGGAUGGACUCGCGGCUUACCAGCUUGUUGGUGGGGGAGGGGCUUACCGAGCCUUGGACGGGUAGCCGGCCGGGGAGGGUGGACGGCCACAUUGGGACUGAGAUACGGCCCAGUCUCCUACGGGAGGCAGCAGUGGGGAAUAUUGCACAAUGGGCGCACGCCGGAUGCAGAAGCGCCGCGUGCGGAAUGACGGCCUUCGGGUUGUAAACCGCUUUCGCCUGUGACGCAGCGUGAGUGACGGUAAUGAGUAAAUAAGCACCGGCUAACUACGUG